UGCACCACAAGUCCGUUAUAUGAUGCAAGAGAUCAUGUUCUAUAUACGGUCACCAACAUGUUUGACCACAUACUGGUACACAUAUGGUGUUUCUCAAGUAUUAUAUGGGCGAGUUUUUGACCACCGGAACUUGCAUUGUCGUGUACCAGAGAUAGAAAAUAUAUUCAGUUCUUUAUAUAUAUGUGCUCUCCCCCCAAUGCUUCGAUAAGAAGUAUAGUUG